UCUUUAUAUAGCAAGUUACACGCUAAGUAGUCGUGAACCCCGCGUAAUAUUAAUAUAUUUAGUUGGGGUGACACGAAGUAGUAAACACUUCUUUUACAAACGAAAGUACAAGGCUUAAUGACCCGGCCCGCCGAUCAAAAAACUAAGU
rnacentral:rRNA from 1 species